AAAAAAGUUCUUAGCAAGCUUUCGGACGCAGUCACCCUUCUUCAGGCAUAGGGUGCCUCUGCUGUUCAAUUAGAUUUACACCCCAGGAACAAGUAGAAGUGUCAUUGGGAAGGACAUCUUGAAAACUCUCUGGGUACAUACAACGUAUUCCUCACAAGGCGGCACCAGAAUGGCAGCCCCCAUGGAGCCUGUGCCAAUGCCACCUCAGUGGCCUGUGUUCAGGGAGCUUUUGAUUAGAUGGCACCUCCACAGCAUGCCCUGCGCAGUGAGGUUCUUUUCCAAUGAUUCUGACUGGUGGAUUGAUGAUGGGCAAGUGCGUGCACGCAAGACUGCCUGGAGUUGACCAUAUGUAAAGUCUUUUCCACUGAGUCCCAUGGUGCCGACUGUCCUUCAAAGAAACUCUAUUGAAAAAAAAAAGGAACAAUGUGAAUGGGAACAGAAUCUGAUCCUGUGUUGCUAAUCUGCUAUUAAGAGAUUUACAAGUUUCAUUUACCUGGUGACCCUCAACAAGAAUAAGCCCCAAGGCAUCCUUCAGUCUAGCAAUGUCUAGAAAACAGAGGAGGAAGACUGCAGGAUUUCAGAGAGUCCUAGAUGUACAGCACUUUAAAAAUGCAUACUGGCAACAGUGACCUAUACAGAUGCUUCAGAAGAGAAAGUCUACAGUACCCAGUUAUGUGAUAACAUGGCCUGAAGAGAAAGUUUCCUGUGGAAAUGGGGCUAUCUCCUGAUGCUUAAAGAUUUUUAACUUGUCUUGGUUUUAUUUUUAAAAAAUAUUUCCUGUCCUGCUAUAACUCUGGAUAUUUUUGUUACCCUCAUAAAUGUUUAAUUCUUCUUUAAACCCAAAAGCUUGCUAGGAAAAAAGUUUCCAACUAUUUAGUUGGUCUAAUAAAAGAUAACAGA